rnacentral:snoRNA from 1 species
AAUACUAACUCUGUGUUAACUAUACCACUGUGCAAGCAUUUAGUUCCCUAUUUUAUAUUUUAAAGAUAUGUGGGGAACUCUGCACAGUGCUGCGCAGUGCAGAGUGAGGGAUGUAAGGCCAGGACAUGUCACCCCAGCCCCAGGCACACUGCAUGCCAC